rnacentral:lncRNA from 1 species
AAGACACAGUGAGAAGAUGACCCUCUCUCCAAGCCAGGAAGAGACCUCCCGAGGAGCCCAGCCAGCCAGCACCCUGACCUCCAACGUCCAGCCUCUGGAAAUGUGAGAGGCCAACGUCUGCGUUGGGAGCCACGUGGUCCCGUGGGAUCUGGCCUAACGCUAAAGCCGUGGCUGCGCUCCUGCCCCGCACCAGGAUGUGGCAACUUUGAGAACCGCUGGAGAGUCGAGAGAUGUCAUCGAAACGACACCCGAUACGUGUUCCCUGAGCAUCCGUUUUGUAGUGAAGACACUCGUACUGUUGACGCCUGCUGCGGUAAGCGGUAAGGUUGGGGGACGACCCCACGCCGAUGGCACCCGCACCAGGGACAGCCCGGCCUCUGCCCAAGGGCACACCUACUUGGCAACGUUCAAGUACAGGUCGUACUGGACGUCUGCGGGGGCCGCCGGGCCUACCGCCCAGCUGCAGCUCAAGAAAUCCACGUCGUGAAUCCAGCAGGUCAGAUUCUCUGCACCUGCCCGAGUCUUCCCACCUGGGUUCACAAACAUGAAAGAGAACUCGAAUUGGGGCCGGGCACGGUGGCUCACGCCUGUCACCCCAGCAUUUUGGGAGGCCGAGGCGGGUGGAUCACAUGAGGUCAGGAGUUCGAGACCAGCCUGGCCAACAUGGAGAAACCCCGUCUCUACUAAAAAUACAAAAAUUAGCCGUGUGUGGUGGCUCACGCCUGUGAUCCCAGCACUUUGGGAGGCCAAGGCAGGUGGAUCGCCUGAGGUCCGGAGUUUGAGACCAGCCUGGCCAACAUGGUGAAACCCCAUCGCUACUAAAAAUAGAAAAAAUUAACCAGGUGUGAUGUCGGGCCGCUCUAAUCCCAGCUACUCGGGAGGCUGAGGCAGAAGAAUUUCUUGA